UACGAAGGGGGGCUAGCGUUGCUCGGAAUCACUGGGCGUAAAGCGCACGUAGGCGGCUUUCUAAGUCAGGGGGUGAAAUCCUGGAGCUCAACUCCAGAACUGCCUUUGAUACUGGGAAGCUCGAGUCCGGAAGAGGUGAGUGGAACUCCGAGUGUAGAGGUGAAAUUCGUAGAUAUUCGGAAGAACACCAGUGGCGAAGGCGGCUCACUGGUCCGGUACUGACGCUGAGGUGCGAAGCGUGGGAGCAAACAGGG
rnacentral:rRNA from 1 species